GCUGUCACACUCGCUGUGCAUCUUAAUUCAAAAUAAAAGUUCUUUAUCUCCAAAAACACCCGUUAUCAUAUAAGACAAACAAUGUGUAUUAUCUUUUCAUGUGCAAAACAAAUGCAUAAAACAAGGAUAUGUCAGCUGCCAGCAGCCUGAAGCUAUCGUACGGCUUAACACAUACACACUUCAUAUGGUGACAUGUGCUGUUUGUGAGCAUAUCCUCACUUCUGCUUGUUUGUGUUGCAUAAAAAAUCUCCUAUUGGUGAGUACCAUGUGACUGGCCGCUUGUAUCUUUCCGCCAUCACCAACACGAUAGCGUUUAUUGCUAUCCUUGGAAACUUCUUUAUGAACAUGGUUAUCGUCACACUCAUUAUCAGCGAAAGGAUAACUGUUUACAGUCAUCAGUAGCAUCGUCAAAAAAGGAAAAAAAAUCAAAAUCAUCUACGAAUAUGCCGUGACAAUGCAUACGUAAACAUUAAAGGCUUAAGGUGCAUUUUUUUUUGUAACUAGUGCUGCAGUAUGCCAGGGAAAUCGCGUCGGAAGCAGUGACACAAAUGGCGGGCGAACAUUAAAUGGGCGUUAGGGAGGAGUAUGCUCUCUUUGUAUUUGUGUGAGAAUUACUGGAUAAUGUUAAAAUCGUGAAACACGGCAACACCGCUGCGCUACAAUUGCUAAACUAUGUGGUGUAUUCACUGAAAUUUGGCCUCUAUACUUCUGUAGGCGGGUUUGUUUCAUGAAUAUUCAAAUAUUAUAGGAGUAAAAUCGAUUCGGAACCUAGACUAUGAGCUGGAAAAUAUUUUUAAUUUGAGUAUUUUUUGGCAUUUUCAUUUUCAGUUGCACCAAUGCUCGAUUACAAAGCAAACUGUUUAAGAUAUCAAUGAAUAAAAAGCUGCAGUGAAUUUUCUAUUCAUUUAGCCAAUUUAACCACCGUAAAAGCGGGUUUAAUGAAGCUUUAUUAACUUAAACAUGUUGAUUUGAACGUUUUUACCAUAUACACUCAAAGCAACAUCACGACAGUGACAUGGAUAGGAGGAGAAAAUUACGGUAGUUACCAGUCUUCUAUUACAAUUUUCGCGAGCGCAACGCGAAAUGAAUGCGUGGAGAGAAAAGCUCAAAAAACAAAUAUAUAUUUAAAUAAACAUUAAUUUUAAAGUCUGUAAAUCUGACUGCGAUGAUGAUAGCCGUAAACCCAGCUGCACUUUACUAGAGAAAUAAAGGAAGCGGAGGCUUUCAUGAUAAGUUUACUCGCAUUCGCAUUGUCGAUUAUUGUAGUGAUUCUAUUUUAUUAGCAGCAAUAUCUC